CCAUGCUCGGAGGCGGGGGGUGCGGGGGGGACCCCGCUCCCGUCCCCAUCACAGGCACCUACCUUCAUCUCCUCGUUGAUCUCCCGCUUCACCGGCAGGACCUCGACUAGACCCUCGAGAAGGCUCUGCUGACAGCAAAGAGUUGCAGGAGUUCAGCCGCAGCAGGGCUUGUGCUGUGGGCUCGGUCCGUUCCACACACCCCAGGACUACAACGUCUGGGCUCAAACCCACCAAGCAGCAAGCAUGAGAAGAAAACAAGAUUACGCAGCUCCAAAACGUUGCUGUUCUGAGUGUCUGUCCAAAUUCCCCUGAGUGAAGCACUGCCCAUCAGAGGAGAUGGCCUGAGAGGCUCUCACAAUGGAAAUUGAGUGGGGAGGGGAACAAAGAGUGACUCUAUGAAGGGGUGCUGACUGAUGAGCCAGUGAGGAGGCAGCUGCGUUCUGAGGGCAUGUGGCACAGGAGGGGCUUGUCCCACUGCCUGUGUUGCUGCUGAGACCCAGUGGGAUCUUUGGCUUUCCGUCUGUGCCAUGUACUGAGCUAACGAAUCCCUGAUGAGCCACUGUAUCCCUGAGCCUGGUGUGCCAUGAAAAGAGUUACACACACCUUCUCUGGCAAAGCAUCCCUAUGUAUCACAGCUAUAUUUACUUGUUUGGAAAAAAUCUUUUGCAUUUGUUAUCAUUUAUUAACCAGCAACGCAUCAAGUUCUGAUAUUGGUAUUAGAGUAGGUAUAAUUAGACUUAAAAAUUAAUACUUUUAAAUGUCAAAUUCUGUCCAAGGGAUGUGACUCCUACUGAAACCAACUGAUGCUAAAUGAUGAUGUUUUUUCAGUGUCUAACUACAGGAUCAAUAAGGCCUUUGCCCUUGUCAGUAGUUCUGUCAGCUGCUAGGAAGACAGGCAGCCUUGCAGACAAGGCACAGACAAGGAGGUCAAGAGAAGUGGAUUCUUUUCUCAGUUUGCCUUAGGGCUUUUGCAAAGCCUUGGACAAAUCGCACAACCUCUCUGUUAAACCUCCUGACUUCCAAAAUGGAAAUGAUCAUAACUAUCUGCUUUCCCAGGAUGCAUUGGAGUAAAUCAGUUCUUGGGAGGAGGGAAAGGUGAGGGGGGAAUGGGUGUUUGUGGGAACAACAACUAAACAGGUGCUUUGGAAGGAACAGACAUAUUUCUGUUCACUUUUAUUUUUGUAAACAGUCUUAGAGUGCACCUGGGAUUUAACAAAUUAAAAAAUUAAGCAGCAUCUAGGAGAUUUGAUCAUGUAGACAUGUUACAGUUACUACAAUAUAUAACAUUGCUAGUCUCAUUCUCCUAUAGGCAUCAUUUAUUUGGUAACUAUGAAAAAUUGAAAGUUCAAAUGCUCCAAAUCAAAUGAGAGUGCUUUAGAAUUGUUUUACUUUAGAUGGCAGUCAGGAAAAUAUUUCCACGUUUCAUUUGCUAGAAAAGAGAUCCAGUGCUGCCAUUAGUAGCGGCUUUGAUGUAUUCUCUGGUACAUUGGUCCAGAGCAUGCUGAUGUAAACAGAAGUGUCUCUUGACCUGUCAUCUUUGUUCUUCAACUUUGAUACUGGCCCCCUCCAGUGGCUCCUUUCUCCUCCUGGGGAGGCUUUAAAAAGUCAAUUGAUACAGGAAAAAAAAGAGUUUCAGUUUUCUUCUCUGCUUAAGACUCUAAAGAAAUA